CUAGGAGAACCGAAAACAGUUCUAGACUGGCCUGGGGUUUUAUGGCACUUUUGGCAGUCAACUUCAGCUUGUCUCUGAGCGGACAUGCCAGAUCCGACCGACUGAAAGCCAGGAGGCAGACAACCACCUACACGGAUUUCCCCCCCCCUCCCCGCCUCGCUGGUUUCAAUAAGU